UGGAAACUCCCAAUAUAAAAAGUUCAAGGGCCUAGAGCAUUACAAUAGCAAAGAAAAGGUUCUUAAGGAAUAAAAUGUUAAUGUGGUCUAACAGAAAACUAACACAGCACGUAAUAGUAAUGAUUAGGAAAUUGUUAUUCUAUUAACUAUUCAAAGUAUAAUGACAUAAGAGAGGCAACGGAAUUUGAUCUCUACCAUCCUCUAUGUUGAUUGUUAAUGGUCAAACUUUCAUCAAAGGAGGGGAAGAACAGCACUGCAGAGUACAUUUUUCUCCCCAUGGACGUACCCCAAGCUCUAAUCGUAAUCCAAGCCUGUCUUGAGAGAAUAACCUAUUCCCAACUAUUAUUCUUCCUUGGUGAUUCUAUUAGUAGGAAACUUGAUCAUAAUUUUAUGCUUUAGUAGAGUCACUCAACAAUUUUUUUUUUUUAAAUAAGUUUAUAGCCCCUAAUAUCAAGGCUUGGAAUUGCAGACAUAAUCACAAACACAUCGACAAUUUCAUCAUGUCCAUUUCCGGAUGUCACAAUCAAGGUGUAACAGUAACAACUGACAACACUAUAGUAUUUUUUCUAUAUAAUAGCAAAAUGGCUCAAAUUUCUGAUCAAAUAUCAAAUAUACGUAUACUCAACAUCUAAUAUCACUUUCCACAAAAAAAUCAUUUUAGCCAUUUACAUAAUAAAUUUUGUUCAAAAAUACUUAACAAUAUAUCUUGCAAUAUUAUUUUCUCUUUAAUAUUAUUUUAAUAACAACAAAGAUUCAA
rnacentral:misc_RNA from 1 species